GAUGAACGCUGGCGGCGUGCCUAAUACAUGCAAGUCGAGCGAACAGAUAAGGAGCUUGCUCCUCUGACGUUAGCGGCGGACGGGUGAGUAACACGUGGGUAACCUACCUAUAAGACUGGAAUAACUCCGGGAAACCGGGGCUAAUGCCGGAUAAUAUUUAGAACCGCAUGGUUCUAAAGUGAAAGAUGGUUUUGCUAUCACUUAUAGAUGGACCCGCGCCGUAUUAGCUAGUUGGUGGGGUAAUGGCUUACCAAGGCAACGAUACGUAGCCGACCUGAGAGGGUGAUCGGCCACACUGGAACUGAGACACGGUCCAGACUCCUACGGGAGGCAGCAGUAGGGAAUCUUCCGCAAUGGGCGAAAGCCUGACGGAGCAACGCCGCGUGAGUGAUGAAGGUCUUCGGAUCGUAAAACUCUGUUAUUAGGGAAGAACAAAUGUGUAAGUAACUGUGCACGUCUUGACGGUACCUAAUCAGAAAGCCACGGCUAACUACGUGCCAGCAGCCGC
rnacentral:rRNA from 1 species